rnacentral:rRNA from 1 species
CCUUAGAGUUUGAUCCUGGCUCAGGAUGAACGCUAGCUACAGGCUUAACACAUGCAAGUCGAGGGGAAACGAUAGAGAAAGCUUGCUUUUUCUAGGCGUCGACCGGCGCACGGGUGAGUAACGCGUAUCCAACCUGCCCACCACUUGGGGAUAACCUUGCGAAAGUAAGACUAAUACCCAAUGAUAUCUCUAGAAGACAUCUGAAGGAGAUUAAAGAUUUAUCGGUGAUGGAUGGGGAUGCGUCUGAUUAGCUUGUUGGCGGGGUAACGGCCCACCAAGGCGACGAUCAGUAGGGGUUCUGAGAGGAAGGUCCCCCACAUUGGAACUGAGACACGGUCCAAACUCCUACGGGAGGCAGCAGUGAGGAAUAUUGGUCAAUGGGCGAGAGCCUGAACCAGCCAAGUAGCGUGCAGGAUGACGGCCCUAUGGGUUGUAAACUGCUUUUAUAAGGGAAUAAAGUGAGCCUCGUGAGGCUUUUUGCAUGUACCUUAUGAAUAAGGACCGGCUAAUUCCGUGCCAGCAGCCGCGGUAAUACGGAAGGUCCGGGCGUUAUCCGGAUUUAUUGGGUUUAAAGGGAGCGUAGGCCGGAGAUUAAGCGUGUUGUGAAAUGUAGACGCUCAACGUCUGCACUGCAGCGCGAACUGGUUUCCUUGAGUACGCACAAAGUGGGCGGAAUUCGUGGUGUAGCGGUGAAAUGCUUAGAUAUCACGAAGAACUCCGAUUGCGAAGGCAGCUCACUGGAGCGCAACUGACGCUGAAGCUCGAAAGUGCGGGUAUCGAACAGGAUUAGAUACCCUGGUAGUCCGCACGGUAAACGAUGGAUGCCCGCUGUUGGUCUGAAUAGGUCAGCGGCCAAGCGAAAGCAUUAAGCAUCCCACCUGGGGAGUACGCCGGCAACGGUGAAACUCAAAGGAAUUGACGGAAGG